GGAAAGAUGGAAUGAAUACUUUAGUCAUGCUACAAACUUUUUCAAUUGUGAAAUACUUGUUCAAACAUAAUUCAUGUUUUAAUAAUAUAAAGAGGACAUAGUUAAUAGUUUAUGUAAUGUUGGCUGACCUCAUUCUUAUCCAUUGCAAUAUAGAAAUCUAAGUUCCUAUCCAAAUACUAGGUUUUCUUGUUGACCUUCCC
rnacentral:lncRNA from 1 species